rnacentral:tmRNA from 1 species
CCCCUUUUCUUUUUGCAAACCUCGCCUAUAUCGACCGUGCCGGGUUCGCCCGGCUAUGGUGAUAAACUGCGGCGUGCAAUAGGCAUAUCGGACCCGGGGGCGGUACCCGGCAGCUCCACCAUCACCACUGGUAGCCUGAAGAGGCAGGCCAGGCCCUGUUGUCGCAGGGGUGUUGAUGGGGCUGAACUAGGAUCGACGUGUGUUGAAAAGCGCUGUUUUUGCCCGGGCUGAGUAACCCGUUCAAGGCUCAAAACCCAAUAAGUGCCAACGACAACGUCGCACUUGCUCAGGUUGCGUAAUUCUAGGACCUAACGGUCUGAAGUUACAAUACAUGAACACGGCUGAGCCCGCCGGGUAACAGAAGGGAUUUCG